UACAGAGGGUGCAAGCGUUGUUCGGAAUUAUUGGGCGUAAAGCGCGUGUAGGCGGCUUCGCAAGUCGGGUGUGAAAUCCCCCAGCUUAACUGGGGAAGUGCGCUCGAAACUGCGGGGCUCGAGUACCGGAGAGGAUGGCGGAAUUCCCCAAGUAGAGGUGAAAUUCGUAGAUAUGGGGAGGAACACCGGUGGCGAAGGCGGCCAUCUGGUCCUUGACUGACGCUGAGGCGCGAAAGCGUGGGGAGCAAACAGG
rnacentral:rRNA from 1 species